GAGGGCAGAGCUCAGUGGUAGAGCACGUGCUUAGCAUGCACAACGUCCUGGGUUGGAUCCCUAGUACCUUCA
rnacentral:tRNA from 1 species